rfam:Echinostoma caproni strain Egypt genome assembly, scaffold: ECPE_scaffold0000187
GGCUUUGUAGCUCAGCUGGUAAAGCAUGCGCGUACAAAGCGUAGGCAGUGUCCAUGCGUAGGUUGAAAUCACACCGAGGCUA